rnacentral:rRNA from 1 species
CCUACGGGGGGCAGCAGUGGGGAAUAUUGGGCAAUGGGCGCAAGCCUGACCCAGCAACGCCGCGUGAAGGAAGAAGGCUCUCGGGUUGUAAACUUCUUUUAUUGAGGACGAAACAAAUGACGGUACUCAAUGAAUAAGCCACGGCUAACUACGUGCCACCAGCCGAGGUCAUACGUGGGUGGGAAGCGGUAUCCGGAUUUACUGGGUGUAACGGGCGUGUAGGCGGGACUGCAAGUCAGAUGUGAAACCCAUGGGGUCAACCCAUGGCCUGCAGUUGAAACUGUAGUUCUUGAGUGAUGGAGAGGCAGGCGGAAUGCGGGGUGUAGCGGUGAAAUGCGUAGAUAUACGGAGGAACACCAGUGGCGAAGGCGGCCUGCUGGACAUUAACUGACGCUGAGGCGCGAAAGCGUGGGGAGCAAACAGGAUUAGAUACCCCUGUAGUC